rnacentral:lncRNA from 10 species
GACGGGCCCCGUGGCGGCGGCGCCGGGGCCUGCCCGGGAAUGGCGGGCAAGCCGGCCUCGGCCCACCGGCCGGCACGCGAAGGGAGGGCAGCCGGCGGCCAUGCGCCCCUUCCCUGCGCCCUCUCGCCCUGGGCAGGCCUGAGCCGGGAGCCCAGGUCCCGCGGGCCCAGCCCGGCGGCUUGACCCCGGGAGACCCUGCUUUGAGGCGGGUAUCGGUUGCCCUGGCCCAGGCCUCCCGGCCCUCAGGUUGUGUGACUGUGACGGGCAGCCUGGGGCCAAAGGCGGUUGAAGGGGAAGGGGACGCAGAUCUCCCACU